CGAGAGAGUAGAAGCGUUCAGCAGCGCACGCACCACCCUUGUGCGCUCGCCCGGAAAUUGCUCUUGAA
ncrna:Variovorax paradoxus B4 NMT1 RNA